GAUGAAGAACGUAGCGAAAUGCGAUAAGUAAUGUGAAUUGCAGAAUCUCGUGAAUCAUCUAAUCUUUGAACGCACAUUGCACUCUAGCUUGCUAGAGUAUGCCUGUUUGAGAAUCUAAUGUAUUCAUUUUCCUUUAUUGGUGAGUUUUCGGACUCAUUUCUAAAGGAAAGAUAUGGGGCAGCUUCUCAAGUGCUCUGAAAUUCAUUAGUCUAGUCCCACCUGCGUGAUGACGGCCUGCAAGGCUGCCAAAAGGUAUAUGUAUGGAACCUUGGUUUCUCAUUGUGCUUAGUAGGCAACAGUAGCGCCCAGCGUAGCAAAGACUAGAUCCAACUAUAAGACGAAAGUCUGAACCAUGGUCUCAAAUCAGGUAGGACUACCCGCUGAACUUAAGCAUAUCAAUAAGCGGAGGA
rnacentral:misc_RNA from 1 species